rnacentral:rRNA from 1 species
UACGUUCCCGGGUCUUGUACACACCGCCCGUCACGCCAUGGAAGCUGGGGGUGCCUGAAGUCGGUGACCGCAAGGAGCUGCCUAGGGUAAAACUGGUAACUAGGGCU